AUGGACAACAUACGCCAAGGUGCGCUCCGCUUUUCUGCCGGAGUGUGAAACGGGAAGCCGGUGACAAGAGAAGACCUCUCUGACAAUCCGGCGCAGCCCCCGCUGCUGUAGGCCUGACGAUGCUGUUCAAACGCCACUGUGCACCGCAUGGGAAGGCAAGGACAGCCGAGGAUGACGGCGAGCCAGAAGACCGGCCAUGGCGUUAAGUACUGG
rnacentral:ncRNA from 2 species